GCGAAAUUCGGGCCAGCAGCUGGGGUAAUACGAAGGGAGCGAGCGUGGUUCGGAAUCACUGGGCUUAAAGCGUGCGUAGGUGGAUUGGUAAGUAAGGAGUGAAAUCCCAGGGCUUAACCCUGGAACUGCUCUUUAGACUGCCUGUCUGGAAUUCGGAAGAGGUUGGUGGAACUCCCAGUGUAGAGGUGAAAUUCGCAGAUAUUGGGAAGAACACCGGUGGCGAAGGCGACCAACUGGUCCGACAUUGACACUGAGGCACGAAAGCGUGGGUAGCAAACAGGAUUAGAUACCCCUGUAGUC
rnacentral:rRNA from 1 species